ACGGAAGGCAGCAGUGGGGGAUAUUGCACAAUGGGGGAAACCCUGAUGCAGCGACGCCGCGUGAGUGAUGAAGUAUUUCGGUAUGUAAAGCUCUAUCAGCAGGGAAGAAAAUGACGGUACCUGACUAAGAAGCACCGGCUAAAUACGUGCCAGCAGCCGCGGUAAUACGUAUGGUGCAAGCGUUAUCCGGAUUUACUGGGUGUAAAGGGAGCGUAGACGGAUGGCUAAGUCUGAUGUGAAAGGUGGGGGCUCAACCCCCAAACUGCAUUGGAAACUGUCUGGCUCGAGUGCCGGAGAGGUAAGCGGAAUUCCUAGUGUAGCGGUGAAAUGCGUAGAUAUUAGGAGGAACACCAGUGGCGAAGGCGGCUUACUGGACGGUAACUGACGUUGAGGCUCGAAAGCGUGGGGAGCAAACAGGAUUAGAUACCCUGGUA
rnacentral:rRNA from 1 species